AGUGAACGCUGGCGGUAGGCCUGACACAUGCAAGUCGAACGGCAGCACAGUAAGAGCUUGCUCUUACGGGUGGCGAGUGGCGGACGGGUGAGGAAUACAUCGGAAUCUACUUUUUCGUGGGGGAUAACGUAGGGAAACUUACGCUAAUACCGCAUACGACCUACGGGUGAAGGCAGGGGAUCUUCGGACCUUGCGCGAUUGAAUGAGCCGAUGUCGGAUUAGCUAGUUGGCGGGGUAAAGGCCCACCAAGGCGACGAUCCGUAGCUGGUCUGAGAGGAUGAUCAGCCACACUGGAACUGAGACACGGUCCAGACUCCUACGGGAGGCAGCAGUGGGGAAUAUUGGACAAUGGGCGCAAGCCUGAUCCAGCCAUACCGCGUGGGUGAAGAAGGCCUUCGGGUUGUAAAGCCCUUUUGUUGGGAAAGAAAAGCAGCAGGUUAAUACCCCGCUGUUCUGACGGUACCCAAAGAAUAAGCACCGGCUAACUUCGUG
rnacentral:rRNA from 1 species